GGCUCAGGAUGAACGCUAGCGGCAGGCUUAACACAUGCAAGUCGAGGGGCAUCGGGAGUAGCAAUACUUGCCGGCGACCGGCGCAAGGGUGCGUAACGCGUGAGCAACAUGCCCGUAUCAGGGGGAUAAUCCAUGGAAACGUGGUCUAAUACCCCAUAGUAAUUAUGUAAGGCAUCUUAUAUAAUUUAAAGCUUUGGUGGAUACGGAUUGGCUCGCGUGACAUUAGCUAGAUGGUAAGGUAACGGCUUACCAUGGCUACGAUGUCUAGGGGUUCUGAGAGGAGGGUCCCCCACACUGGAACUGAGACACGGUCCAGACUCCUACGGGAGGCAGCAGUGAGGAAUAUUGGACAAUGGAUGGAAAUCUGAUCCAGCCAUGCCGCGUGCCAGGAAGACGGCCCUAUGGGUUGUAAACUGCUUUUGUAUGGGAGCAAUAAGGGCUACGCGUAGUCCGAUGAGAGUACCAUACGAAUAAGCACCGGCUAACUCCGUGCCAGCCGCGGC
rnacentral:rRNA from 1 species